rnacentral:rRNA from 1 species
GCGGCAUGCUUUACACAUGCAAGUCGAACGGUAACAGGGAGCUUGCUCCGCUGACGAGUGGCGAACGGGUGAGUAAUAUAUCGGAACGUACCCAAGAGUGGGGGAUAACGUAGCGAAAGUUACGCUAAUACCGCAUACGAUCUAUGGAUGAAAGCAGGGGACCUUCGGGCCUUGUGCUCCUGGAGCGGCCGAUAUCUGAUUAGCUAGUUGGUGAGGUAAAGGCUCACCAAGGCGACGAUCAGUAGCUGGUCUGAGAGGACGACCAGCCACACUGGAACUGAGACACGGUCCAGACUCCUACGGGAGGCAGCAGUGGGGAAUUUUGGACAAUGGGCGCAAGCCUGAUCCAGCAAUGCCGCGUGAGUGAAGAAGGCCUUCGGGUUGUAAAGCUCUUUUGUCAGGGAAGAAACGGCUGUGGCUAAUAUCCACGGCUAAUGACGGUACCUGAAGAAUAAGCACCGGCUAACUACGUGCCAGCAGCCGCGGUAAUACGUAGGGUGCAACCGUUAAUCGGAAUUACUGGGCGUAAAGCGUGCGCAGGCGGUUUUGUAAGUCUGUCGUGAAAUCCCCGGGCUCAACCUGGGAAUUGCGAUGGAGACUGCAAGGCUAGAAUCUGGCAGAGGGGGGUAGAAUUCCACGUGUAGCAGUGAAAUGCGUAGAGAUGUGGAGGAACACCGAUGGCGAAGGCAGCCCCCUGGGUCAAGAUUGACGCUCAUGCACGAAAGCGUGGGGAGCAAACAGGAUUAGAUACCCUGGUAGUCCACGCCCUAAACGAUGUCUACUAGUUGUCGGGUUUUAAUUAACUUGGUAACGCAGCUAACGCGUGAAGUAGACCGCCUGGGGAGUACGGUCGCAAGAUUAAAACUCAAAGGAAUUGACGGGGACCCGCACAAGCGGUGGAUGAUGUGGAUUAAUUCGAUGCAACG